GAAUCAUAAUGAUUGACGGACGGGAGGAGGAACGCCCACUCCGCCUUCACCGACCUGCAUUGAGGAUUUAACCAGAAACGUAUAGAUAUUGACCAUUGAUCCACGCGUAUUAUGGUCCGACGUGAACAAAAGUACCGACAACAGAGCGAGUAUUGCGGCUUCUGUGCAGCCGGUUCCGUCGUGUGACAGCCGGACCGUUACGCAACAUUAACGUAACGGGGACUCCAACUACCGCGGCUCAGCGGCAAAAUGUAACGUUAGUCCGCGUGAAGACGCACUAAUAUCACGGUAAUUAUACCCGUGCUUUAUGUCAGGGCUCGGGAGCCGGGUGCAGAUGACAGCGUGACCGCGGGGAGGAAGGAAGGAGCUGAAGGAGAAGCGUUAAAUGGACCCUGCGCCUGGUGGCCGCAAAAGGAACUGCAGGUAAACAUCCAGCACAGUGUUAUAAUCAGUUCAUUUAUCGGGUACAGUCAAGUGUCUCUUUGAACUUUUACGUAACUCAAACACUUCUGCUUUAUUAUACAUGUGUAAUAUUGUUUGGAUGAAAACAGCUUGAUACGUAUUGAAUAAAUGCGAGUGAGUUUAAGUCAAGUGAA